UAAUUUAUUACAUAAUAUAAUACAAACUAGCAUAAGUGCAUAACUAUAGAGACCUAAAUAAAAAGUCUACAAAGCUUUCUAGUAAGUCUCUAGCCUGCACUUUACAAUUAUUGUAAAUAUACCACACAUAAAUUUAUUGUACAUGGGGAAAAUUUUUAAAAUAAAAUAAACAAAUAAAUUAAUAUCCAAUCAAAAUAUCCCAGAAGAAAUAUCAAUUUCAUAUAAAAACAAUAAUUAAAAUCUAAUUAUAGUUUCAAUUACUACUAAAUACAGUAUCAUUUAAUCUAAUUAGCAUUAUUUAAACCAAUCAAAACAAUUGUACAUUAAAUAUGGCCUGCUACUCACGCUAGAAAUAGUUGUAUGGCAUGAACUUUUAAUAACAUUUGUAUCAGGCCUUUCCUUUGCCCACCCACCAUGAGGAAAAUAAAGGUUUGACACUGCUCCCGCCCAAAAUGUAGAGCUUAUUUUCAGAUUUCAGUCAAAGGCCAAAUACUUGGGCUGCCACAAGAUAUCAACUAAGAUGAAACCAUUCUCUACAAGUGAAAAUCCAGAUGAAACUGGACAGUUUUGGGGGAAAUGGAAAAAAUGUAGAAUUUAACGAAGCAUACUGUAUAUAAUGUAUUUUUAUAGAUAUGUAAAGUAGUAAGUACUGUACAGUAUAAUGUGAUCUUGUAUUGUAAAUAAAGUUAAUAUUAUGUGUCUGAGAUUCUAGUAAAAAGUAACAACAUUAUAGCAUGGACAGUGCACACAUGAGUUUUUGUAGCUCAUUGUGUGGGCAUGCCAAAAUGUCAGUUGAAAGUUAAAUAAUUUCUUGAAAUAUAGUGGCUAAAAGUUGAAAAAUGAAAACUAAACGACAUGAUUAUAAGUUGUGCCAUUUUGUUGCCAGAAAUGAAAAUUAAAUGAAAAUUAUGGCAAAAGAAGUGGGGAUUUGACAUCCGAGAACAG